rnacentral:rRNA from 1 species
GGUGUGAAUUGCAGAAUCCCGUGAACCAUCGAGUUUUKKGAACGCAAGUUGCGCCCGAAGCCAUUAGGCCGAGGGHACGUCUGCCUGGGCGUCACAC